rnacentral:lncRNA from 1 species
CCACUCUUGGCAUCAGGUACCAGCUUGUUAGUUCCCAGGGCCAACCCUGUCUCUGCUCCACUCUAAACAAAGCCAUCUCAUUCAGGACAAGUAUACAUUUAGUCUCUGGUCAACAUGCCCUCAUUAGGAGAGGACUCUGUCUAUAUUUUUAAUUUUAGCUUAAAACCUUAGAUUUUCUCUCCUUAAGUAGAGAUGUUGGGUGUCAGAUUUCCACUGCCUUUCCCCACUUGAUUGCGCCAGAUUCAGCAAUUUGGGUCUAGCUGGGGUGGGUUUUGGAGAAAGAGGGAUGACAAGUCACCAUGUUCCAGACCCUAGACAAAUGGAAGAGAGUUGCACAUCACCAAGAAAAUUAGGAUUCCUUUUGCUUUGUGAAUUAAAGAAAUGAAUAAUUUAAUCCUCAAGAUUGUUCCGGCGAGGGAAAAGCAACGUCCCAGUUGCGGAGCCCUACAGCCUGUCGGUGUGUUACAUCAUCUGCACACAUAGGCGUUUCCAUGACAACCGCUUAUAGCUUCAUUUCCUGGAUCCCUCUAGGGGGUGUCACAGCCAGAUCCACCUGCUUUUCACCCUACCCUCGGUGGGGUCAUGAUGGAGCAGGAUUGUCGUCGCUGUUUUUUUCCUCCUUAAUCCUCAUCCACAAAAAGAAGACACAGUUCAGAGUCUGGCUCCCAACACUCUUAGCUUAUGAGCCACAUCACAAAGAAAAACACAUCCUCUUGACUAUAAUGUGAAAUGCUGAAUAUUAAUUGCUGGUAUUAUGCCUAUCUUUCUAGCUGGGUUCUGUCUUUUAACAAUUAUUCGGAUGGGCUACAGCCUUGCACUGCCAGGAGAUUCUUCUCCUUUGUUUAAUAGUUAGAAACCAAUUUUAUUAAAAAACGGUAAAGUUCACAAUGCUCCAUGUAAGUUCUUAGUAUUUGGAACUCUCCCCAAAUACAGAAUAUUAUCAGGAACAGAGAAACUGCAGACUCUCUUUGCUAAAUAUGAUGAACAUUUCUGCAUUUAAAAGAAAAAAAUAUUUUUCAUUUUAGCAAUAUUAAUGUUUCCUUAAUGAAACUGGAGAGGGUGUUACAAUUUGAUAUACUUGGUUAGUUUCAUUGUCACUUCACUAGCAAAUCAUGAGAAAGGUUCAGAAUAUUCUCAUCUAUCAGGUACAGAUUUUCACUCAAAAUUAAUAUGUAGAGUAAAAGGAUUUUUGUUCAAAUCUGAGGAUUUAACUGUAUCUUUAACGUUUCAUAUGUCAAGAUGAAAGUUUUUAAAUAACUAGUUUUCUGAAACCAUUUCUAUUAUUUCUAAUUUGAGAAUCAAUAUGAUCUUUUUAUUAGCCUUAAAUACCAUACAUCUGGGAAUGUCUGCAAAUUUAAGCUUUUCUGUGUUCUAAUCAAUUACCUUCAGUCUUGCAUAACUAAUCCUAUAAUCUCCAUAGAAGUUACUGCCCUGUAUGUUAGCAAUGAGGUUAUACUUUGUUUCAAUAUUUUGCUAGUUUGGUUGGAGAGCUGAAUCACGCAAUACCAAGAAAUGGUGGCAGAAGAGGUUUGGGGAGGCUGAGUUUCUUUUGAGAAAAUAAUUAUACUGAAACAAAGCUUUUGUGACUCCUUUUAAAUAGGGCAUCUCACCAAAAUGUCAUCCAGCCUCUUUGGCAGAUUAGUGGGGAGUUUAUUACUAAAUCUCUGUCUAAUAAAUGUGCAGUUGACUCUGGAGGAGCUGCUUGUUAUAAUACUGGCGGUGGGAAAUGGAGGGAAUGUCACAGUUAAAGACACAAAUUUUCCCCAUAAUAUAUUCAAAUGGAAACCUCUGAAUCCAAUACUACAUGGGCAUAUCUAAUAAAUUCACAAUAUUUCAGUUUCCGCAGCCUUCACCGGUUAGUUUUAAAGAUUUAUGUGGUAAAAAAUUACUCAGUGAUGAAUAUGGUUUAUUCUGUGCAGUAUUGGAGGUAUAAGGAAUUAAACUACCAUCUUUAACAGUGAAUUUAUUAUUACCUCUGUCAAAAGACGAAGACGUUAACAGCAUUUGUUAUAAAUUCA